CCUACGGGGGGCUGCAGUGAGGAAUAUUGGUCAAUGGACGCAAGUCUGAACCAGCCAAGUAGCGUGCAGGAUGACGGCCCUCCGGGUUGUAAACUGCUUUUAGUUGGGAAUAAAAGGGGGCUCGUGAGCCCCGUAUUGUAUGUACCAUCAGAAAAAGGACCGGCUAAUUCCGUGCCAGCAGCCGCGGUAAUACGGAGGAUGCGAGCGUUAUCCGGAUUUAUUGGGUUUAAAGGGUGCGCAGGCGGAAUGUAAAGUCAGCGGUAAAAUUUCGGGGCUCAACCCGGUCGUGCCGUUGAAACUGGCGUUAUUGAGUGGGCGAGAAGUAUGCGGAAUGCGUGGUGUAGCGGUGAAAUGCAUAGAUAUCACGCAGAACUCCGAUUGCGAAGGCAGCAUACCGGCGCCCAACUGACGCUGAAGCACGAAAGCGUGGGUAUCGAACAGGAUUAGAUACCCCUGUAGUC
rnacentral:rRNA from 1 species